rnacentral:rRNA from 1 species
UGGGGAAUAUUGCACAAUGGGCGAAAGCCUGAUGCAGCAACGCCGCGUGAGUGAUGAAGGCCUUCGGGUUGUAAAGCUCUGUCUUUUGGGACGAUAAUGACGGUACCAAAGGAGGAAGCCACGGCUAACUACGUGCCAGCAGCCGCGGUAAUACGUAGGUGGCAAGCGUUGUCCGGAUUUACUGGGCGUAAAGGAUGCGUAGGCGGAUUUUAAGUGAGAUGUGAAAUACCCGGGCUUAACUUGGGUGCUGCAUUUCAAGCUGGGAAUCUAGAGUGCGGGAGAGGAGAAUGGAAUUCCUAUGUAGCGGUGAAAGUGCGUAGAGAUUAGGAAGAACACCAGUGGCGAAGGCGAUUCUCUGGACCGUAACUGACGCUGAGGCAUGAAAGCGUGGGUAGCAAACAGGAUUAGAUACCCUGGUAGUCCACGCCGUAAACGAUGAGUACUAGGUGUAGGAGG